GACGUAGGGCGCGAGCGUUGUCCGGAUUUAUUGGGCGUAAAGAGCUCGUAGGCGGCUUGUCGCGUCGACUGUGAAAUCCCGCGGCUCAACUGCGGGUCUGCAGUCGAUACGGGGCAGGCUAGAGUUCGGUAGGGGGAGACUGGAAUUCCUGAUGUAGCGGUGAAAUGCGCAGAUAUCAGGAGGAACACCCGGUGGCGAAGGCGGGGUCUCUGGGGCCGAUACUGACGCUGAGGAGCGAAAGCGUGGGGAGCGAACAGG
rnacentral:rRNA from 1 species